rnacentral:rRNA from 1 species
UACGUAGGGUGCAAGCGUUAAUCGGAAUUACUGGGCGUAAAGCGUGCGCAGGCGGUUUCGUAAGUCUGUCGUGAAAUCCCCGGGCUUAACCUGGGAAUGGCGAUGGAGACUGCGAGGCUAGAGUUUGGCAGAGGGGGGUAGGAUUCCACGUGUAGCAGUGAAAUGCGUAGAGAUGUGGAGGAACACCGAUGGCGAAGGCAGCCCCCUGGGUCAAAACUGACGCUCAUGCACGAAAGCGUGGGGAGCAAACAGG